rnacentral:rRNA from 1 species
UACGGAGGGGGCCAGCGUUGUUCGGAAUCAUUGGGCGUAAAGGGCGCGUAGGCGGCCGACCAAGUCGGAGGUGAAAUCCCUCGGCUUAACCGGGGAACUGCGUCUGAUACUGGAUGGCUUGAAUCCGGGAGAGGGAUGCAGAAUUCCAGGUGUAGCGGUGAAAUGCGUAGAUAUCUGGAGGAAUACCGGUGGCGAAGGCGGCAUCCUGGACCGGCAUUGACGCUGAGGAGCGAAAGCCAGGGGAGCAAACGGG